GACGAACGCUGGCGGUGUGCUUCACACAUGCAAGUCGAACGGUAGCAAUACAGUGGCGGACGGGUGAGUAACACGUGGGAAUCUGCCUUUAGAUGGGGGAUAACUAGCCGAAAGGCUAGCUAAUACCGCAUAUGCCGAGAGGUGAAAGGAGCAAUCCGUCUGAAGAUGAGCCCGCGUCCGAUUAGCUAGUUGGUAAGGUAAAGGCUUACCAAGGCUGUGAUCGGUAGCUGGUCUGAGAGGAUGAUCAGCCACAAUGGGACUGAGACACGGCCCAUACUCCUACGGGAGGCAGCAGUGGGGAAUUUUACGCAAUGGGCGAAAGCCUGACGUAGCGACACCGCGUGAACGAAGAAGCCUUUUGGGGUGUAAAGUUCUGUCGGCAGGGACGAAAAAAAUGACGGUACCUGCAAAGGAAGCAUCGGCUAACUACGUGCCAGCCGCCGCGGUAA
rnacentral:rRNA from 1 species